UGGCAGAGCAAGAUUAGGUUGUAAGGGCCUAAUGGACAUGGGAAAACUUAAAAUUACUACACGAGAGAUGGACACUUGAGUGAAACCAAAAGCAUUAGAGAGAGCUUGAGACGUGCCUAUCAUACAUAGUUUCUAUCUAUUUUAAUUAAGGUUCUCUUUCCUCUUCCAGGCCUUACAAUGAAAGCAGAAAAUAGGGUAAGGCUCAAUAGACUGCCGUGGAUGACACUGGAAAAGGUACUUAUUGAGGAGGGCUGCAAAAAGAACGAGGCCAACACCCAUGCAGUUUUUCAAAUGUAUUUCAAAGAAACAACAUUUUCUGCACUAAGAGGGAAAAUGAGAGUGCUUUUAACAAUAUAAAGCUGUUGCCUGAUGCAGCCCAUUGGUGCACACCUCCACUACUGAUCUAAGAUGUGUGCUUACUGGCACUGAAUUAAAACCCAAGUCUUUGUGCUAGUAACUCUGGAAGCUUGUUAGUGAAAACAUUGUAAGACCUCAAAGUGCUAAGCACAAAUCUGAUAGUUCCUGUCCAUUUGCUUCUAUCAUGAGAGCUUCGAUAUCAUGGACUUCUUGGUUGCCAUGUUGGUUGGUAUUUCAUUUUAGUUGAAUUUUGGACAAAGAUGUUUGCAGAGCUGAGGACGUCUCAACAACAGUAAAACUAUAGGAGCUGGAAUAGGUCCUGGAACAGGUCUGUUAGUGCACUCUUGGUCCAAAACUGCACACAUUUUGGAAGAAAAGAAAGGAGUGUUGGAAUUGCUGCCACAGCAAAGGAAGAAAAGGAGUAAGAAAGGGAAGAAAUGCUUGUUGCUUUUAAAAGCAAAAUUAUGGCAUUGGUGGAAAUAUAUUGGAGAUUAUUGAUUUCAGUCACUGAUGCUGGAAAACACAAGCUGUUUAGGUGUGAUAGUUCUCCCAUAUUUUUUUUAGUUACAGACUCAGUUAGUUGAUAGUCUAAACAUUUCAAUUUUACUGUCCACUCUUCCAUUCAAUGCACGUCUGAUAUAAGAUACAGUCCAAGCUAUGGGCAAAAAGCGAAGCCAGAAGUAACAAUCAAUUGAAA